rnacentral:rRNA from 1 species
UAACUUAAGCAUAUCAAUAAGCGGAGGAAAAGAAACCAACAGGGAUUGCCCCAGUAACGGCGAGUGAAGCGGCAACAGCUCAAAUUUGAAAUCUGGCCCCCCGCCCGGGGGCCCGAGUUGUAAUUUGCAGAGGAUGCUUCGGGCGCGGCGGCCUUCUGAGUCCCCUGGAACGGGGCGCCGCAGAGGGUGAGAGCCCCGUACCGUCGGCCGCCAAGCCCGCGUGAAGCUCCUUCGACGAGUCGAGUAGUUUGGGAAUGCUGCUCAAAAUGGGAGGUAAAUUUCUUCUACAGCUAAAUACCGGCUAGAGACCGAUAGCGCACAAGUAGAGUGAUCGAAAGAUGAAAAGCACUUUGAAAAGAGGGUUAAACAGCACGUGAAAUUGUUGAAAGGGAAGCGCCUGUGGCCAGACGUGCGCCGGGCGGAUCACCCAGCGUUCUCGCUGGUGCACUCCGCCCGGCGCAGGCCAGCAUCGGUUCCCGCGGGGGGACAAAAGCGCCGGGAACGUAGCUCCCCCCCGGGGAGUGUUAUAGCCCGGGGCACAAUGCCCCCGCGGGGACCGAGGUCCGCGCCCUGCAAGGAUGCUGGCGUAAUGGCCACCGGCGACCCGUCUUGAAACACGGACCAAGGAGUCAAGGUUCUGCGCGAGUGUUUGGGUGUCAAACCCGCACGCGUAAUGAAAGUGAACGUGGGUGAGAGCUUCGGCGCAUCACCGACCGAUCCUGAUGUACUCGGAUGGAUUUGAGUAGGAGCGUAGUGCCUUGGACCCGAAAGAUGGUGAACUAUGCUUGGAUAGGGUGAAGCCAGAGGAAACUCUGGUGGAGGCUCGCAGCGGUUCUGACGUGCAAAUCGAUCGUCAAAUCUGAGCAUGGGGGCGAAAGACUAAUCGAACCAUCUAGUAGCUGGUUACCGCCGAAGUUUCCCUCAGGAUAGCAGUGUUGUUCUUCAGUUUUAUGAGGUAAAGCGAAUGAUUAGGGACUCGGGGGCGCUAUUUAGCCUUCAUCCAUUCUCAAACUUUAAAUAUGUAAGAAGCCCUUGUUGCUCAGCUGAACGUGGGCCUUCGAAUGCACCAACACUAGUGGGCCAUUUUUGGUAAGCAGAACUGGCGAUGC